GAAAACGACCCUAUAUGAUCCUCGUUCCUCAACCGCCUGCGGCGAAUUUGUGAGCGAGAUGUUAUUUCCCCUAUCUUAAUUAGGAAACUGCAAUUCUCCGACAGGGGGUCUCGAAUGCUAAACGGAGGGGAGGACUUCCACGUGUCUUUGUGAUUUGACACACAGAUGAAGUACGAAUACCGACGGCGACGGCACCCCCUUGGGAAUGCACUGACGCUCAUGUCCGAAAGCGUGUGGCCCAAACUUGAUUUUAUACCCUGGUAUUCCACGCUGUAUACACUGUCGAUUUGGGGAAAGGACUAUAUGCUUGGAGCCCGAACCUAACGUGAUAAAUCAUACCGCCUGAGGAGUACCGCCGCCAAGUUAAAACUCAAAUGAAUUGACGGGGGCCCGCACAAGCGCUGGAACCUGUGGUUUAACUCUAUGCAACUCCAAUAACCUUACCUACUCUUGACAUCCUAAGAAGAGCUCACAUAUGAUCUUGUGCCUUCGGGAACUUAGACACAGGUGCUGCAUGGCUGUCGUCACCUCGCGUCGCGAAAUGUUGGGCUACGUCCCGCAACCAGCGCAACCCUUAUCCUUUGUUGCCAACGAUUCAGCCGGGAACUCACAGGAGACUGACAGUGACAAACUGGAGGAAGGUGGGGAUGACAUCAAGUCAUCAUGGCCCUUACUACUAGGGCUACACACGUGCUACAAUGGUGCAUACAGAGGGCAGCGAGAGUGCGAGCUUGAGCGAAUCUCAGAAAGUGCAUCUAAGUCCGGAUUGGAGUCUGCAACUCGACUCCAUGAAGUCGGAAUCGCUAGUAAUCGCAAAUCAGAAUGUUGCGGUGAAUACGUUCCCGGGCCUUGUACACACCGCCCGUCACACCAUGGGAGUGGGUUGUACCAGAAGUAGAUAGCUUAACCUUCGGGAAGGCGUUACCACGGUAUGAUUCAUGAACUGGGUGAAGUCGUACAAGGGUAACCGUAAAAAAAAAAAAAAGAAAAAA
rnacentral:rRNA from 1 species